AUUGAACGCUGGCGGCGUGCUUAACACAUGCAAGUCGAUCGGUAACAGGUGUAGCAAUACAUGCUGACGGGAGGCGGACGGGUGAGUAAUGCUUGGGAAUCUGCCUAUUAGUGGGGGACAACCCGGGGAAACUCGGGCUAAUACCGCAUACGCUCUACGGAGGAAAGCCGGGGACCGCAAGGCCUGGCGCUAAUAGAUGAGCCCAAGUCGGAUUAGCUAGUUGGUAGGGUAACGGCCACCAAGGCGACAAUCCGUAGCUGGUCUGAGAGGACGACCAGCCACACCGGAACUGAGACACGGUCCGGACUCCUACGGGAGGCAGCAGUGGGGAAUAUUGGACAAUGGGGGCAACCCUGAUCCAGCGACGCCGCGUGGGUGAAGAAGGCCUGCGGGUUGUAAAGCCCUUUUCGGUGGGGGAAGAAAAGUCUCGACCUAAUACGUCGGGACCUUGACGUAACCCACUAAAGAAGCACCGGCUAACUCUGUGCCAGCAGCCGCCGU
rnacentral:rRNA from 1 species